UGGGACUGAAGCAGAAAUGGGUUUAAUAUUAUUAAGGUAAUACUAAUUGUAAAAAUAAUAUAAUUAUAAGAAAUCAAAGAUUGUUGAAAUUAAAAAAAUGAAAAGAAAAUGAAAACCAAAUGUCAGUAUGGUCAACUGAUAGAGUUGAAAGAGUGGAGUUUGAAAUUCCAUGGGAAGAGGUGUUAUUUGAUUUUCCACCCUAUAAUGGAGUUUCAACUACCUAGAAUUGGAACUCCACCUUUGACUUCAUCCGUGGACUGAACUCCACCCUCAACUCCAUCCGUUCCAAACGCACCCUUACUGAUCCUGUAUCUGGUGAUAAAUUCCCAAUGCUGAGUAAAGAACCAAAAUGGUGGUUCUCUAGCAGUUUCCAAAACUCUCAUAGCCCCUAAACUUCUCAUUUCGUUGUUAAGAAGAAAAUGACAACAGUACCGGGGCUUUUAUUUGGGAGAUCGUGAAGAGAAACAAUGCUCUCCUCGUCAAAGAGUUCAGAACUGGAAAUCAAAUGGUUCAGUUCGGUAAAGAACCUAACAAUCUUUACAAACUUUAACUCCUUCAAACAUUCUGGGUUAGCGAAUGCAAAGGUGUUGUUCUUGCUACUACCAAGACUAACAAACAGAAGAACCCUUCAGCUUUGGUACACAAAACUGUCAUGAAGAAGGAAUUCAGUAGAAUGGCCAAGGAUGUUGCCAACCAGUUUGCCGAUUACUUCUAGAGAAGGGACUUGAAGAGUGCAGCUCUUGCAAGGUUGAGCUCUUUGCACAGGAAUCUCAAGGUUGCCAAGUCUGGUGCUAAGAAGAGGAACAUGCAGACUUCCAAGAAAUCUAGCAGGGUUUAAAGAUGCAGCAGUUGAUCUUUUCUUUUUGUUCUACAAACAUCACAAUGGUUUUCUUUUUGUGUUGCCGACAAGUUCUACAGAAGGGAAUUGAAGAGUGCAGCUCUUGCAAGGUUGAGCGCUGUGCACAGGAGUCUCAAGGUUGCCAAGUCUGGUGUUAAGAAGAGGAACAGGCAGACCUCACUCCACGAAAUCUAACAGAGUUCAAAGAUGAAGUUGAUCUUCUCUUUUUGUUCUACAGGUAUCACAAGGGUUUUUGAUAUGUUAGUGUUGAAGAGUUUGAAUGUUUAAUCAAGUUCUUUCGUUCUUGUUAUCAAACUAUGGAUUGGUUAACGUUGAUGUUCAAUGUUUUUCCUACUUAGUCAUGAAAGAUUACCUUUGUUUAGUUUCUGUUCAAACUUUGUCCAAUUUCUAUUUAGUUCCUAGGAGAAAUCAUGGCUUGACUACUUCCCCUACCUGUAUGGCAAGAACUACCUUAAAUUUCUUACUAGGACUUAAACUCAACAACAGGUGAUUCUGGAAGCAGGAUAAUCAAGGAUUGGCUUUGAUGUUUGUAUUAGAAUCCAAAGAACAGGUUCAACCAUGAACAAAGACUUGUUUUUCGAAAAUUUACAGAAAUAUAAACAUGGCUUUGUUACCUCCCUCCCCAUCCUUAUACUUGGCCAGGUUUAAUUUCUGUUCUAUGUAUUGUCCUCAACUUCUUGAGAUCUUCAAGAAUCCACACGUUUAUAAUCUCUCUUUUAAUAUUUCCUUCUCCGUGGUUUCAUUUUCAAGUCAUACUGAGAAUGCCUUAUUUAUUGUUAUUAUUGACAUUAGAAUUGGAACUUUAGAAGCUUGUAUGCUUAGCAUGACUCGAGAAAACUGAAACUACAUGACAACUUCUCACCUUCUACUUUAGUUAAGUUGAAACUUUAGAGUUGGAACUUUCAAUAAUUCCCUAAUAUUAAAUUUUGUUCCAACCAUCGUAAGUUAAGUUGCAGCAUAUACAUAUAUAUAGUUAAAUCGGUUGUUAGUUAUACUUGCAUAUUUGUUCAACUCCUUUAAUCAUUCUCUUCCUCUUGUUGGAUUUUUCGGGUUACUUCUUAUACCAUACGAUAUUUUAUAUGCUAUAUUGCUAUUACUUUAUCUUAAAAGGAAAAUGAAAAGGUGUGCCAUGGGCCUGAAAAAGCAGGGCCGACCCCUAAGUCAAGUUUAGCAAGACUUUUGGUCUUGGAGUAGCACGGGAUGUUAGGUCCGCAGAGGGGCAUUUCUCCUCCCUAACAUCUUCACAUCCACUGCUCUCAAAACCCCAACUCAACUCACAACCCGUCCACUACAGAAACUCAAGAAACCAGUCGUAAUCUUAAUUUCUUCAGAUGGGUUUCGAUUUGGUUAUCAAUACAAAACAGAAUCACUGAAUAUUCAUCGAUUAGUCCAUAAUGGGACUGAAGCAGUUAAUCCCAGUUUUUCCAAUACUCACUUUCCCAAAUUGCUACUCAAUUGUAAGUGGUCUUAACCCUGAAUCACAAUGGAAUUGUUAAAACUACUUUACUGAUCCUGUGUCUGGUGAUAAAUUCUCAAUGCAGUGUAAAGAACCAAAAUGGUGGUUCUCUAGUCGUCUGCGAAACUCCCAGAGCAGCAGCACAAAGAAGAAGAAAAGCCCUAAACUUCUCAUUUCCUUAAAAUGACAACAACGCUUCCCUCGUCAAAGAGUUGGGAAAUGGAAAUCAAAUGGUUCAGCUCAGUAAAGAACCCAACAAUCUUUACAACAACGUUAACUCCUUCAAAAACUCUGCUAAGAAAAGCGACAUCUGAGUCUUGGUUAGCGAAUGCAAAGACUUUUUCAGUUCAAGCUGGAAAAGAUUCAAGUUUUGUUCUUGCAACUACUAUGACUAACAAACAGAAGAAGUAAAGAAGUACACAAAACUGUCAUGAAGAAGGAAUUCAGUAAAAUGGCUAAGGCUGCUGCACACCAGGUUGCCGAUUACUUCUACAGAAGGGACUUGAAGAGUACAGCUCCUGCAAGGUUGAGCUCUGUGCACAGGAGUCUCAAGGUUGCCAAGUCUGGUGUUAAGAAGAUGAACAGGCGGACUUCCAAGAUAUCUAACCGGGUUUAAAGAUGCAGCAGUUGAUCUUUUCUUUUUGUUCUACAGACAUCACAAUUGUUUUUGAUAUAUUAAUGUUAAAGAGUUUGAAUGAAUGUAGUUCUUUUAAUUUUCUGGUUUUCAAACUAUGCAUUGGUCACUAGUACGGUGUCAUUUCUCCUGUACGUUGAAUUUGGGAUCUGUAUUUGCUCUUUGGAGCUUGUAUCAAUGAACUAUCCCCUUGGUCAAACAAAAACAAACUAUGGAUUGGAUAAUGUUCUCGUUCAAUGAAGAAGGAAUUCAGUAGAAUGGCUAAGGCUGCUGCCAACCAGGUUGCCGUUAACUUCUACAGAAGGGACUUGAAGGGUGCAGCUCUUGCAAGGUAGAGAGCUGUUCACAGGAGUCUCAAGGUUGCCUAGUCUGGUGUUAGCAAGAGGAACAGGCAGACUUCUAAGAAUGAUUACCUUUGUCCAAGUUCAAGAUUAUAUAAAAAAUAUUUCAAUGAAAAAACAGAAGAAAAUUAACUUCCAAAGUAAAAGUUGUAUACAGAUUCACUAGAUUUAGAAACUGAAUACUAUGUGAUCAGAAAGCUGGGCAGCUUUGAAUGUUUCUAAAGGGCACCCAUCCAACUUACGUCCCCAGCAAUCGAGACUAACCCCAUUGCUGUUCAAAAGGAAAUACAGAGUGAGACCAGCUUCAAGAGCCCUAUGAAAGUCAACGACAUCAUGGUUGUUAUCCUCCAAGAAUUGGUUGUCAACUAUCUUAGGGAACUGGAGUCUCUCAAACACUUUUUAACUGUUCCUCUUCCACCAACUUUGUUACCCCCAGGCAAUAUUUGGGUAAUUGGUUUGCGUGAUAGCAUGUUUGGAAGGAGAGUCUGCAUGCGAUGUACAUAUUUAUUAAAA